CUCCAAACCUGGAGAUGAGUAAAUACUCCUGCUUGUGAAUUUAUCUGAAUAAUUUCUUCAUGUUCUAUAAGGUGCAAACGUGGGAUUUGUAUGCAUUUGGAUACACCACGGAGGAGCUGCCCUGUGUGUCCUGAAGUACCUGAGGGUCAGUGAGCCGAGUUACAUCAGGGUAGAGGUAGAAGACCAGCCCAUCAGCAGCUCCAGGCAGGUACCCACCCUCAAACAGGGGGCAGAUCUUCCUCCAGCAGGUGAUGCCCCCCUGGCUGGUGUACUGCCCCAGAGCCGUCUCCAGCAGGAACAGGGGGAUU